rnacentral:rRNA from 1 species
UACGGAGGGUGCAAGCGUUAUCCGGAUUCACUGGGUUUAAAGGGUGCGUAGGUGGGCAAGUAAGUCAGUGGUGAAAUCUCCGGGCUUAACCCGGAAACUGCCAUUGAUACUAUUUGUCUUGAAUACUGUGGAGGUCAGCGGAAUAUGUCAUGUAGCGGUGAAAUGCUUAGAUAUGACAUAGAACACCAAUUGCGAAGGCAGCUGGCUACACAAAUAUUGACACUGAGACGCGAAAGCGUGGGGAGCAAACAGG